GUACACGCUGUGACUAGCAUAUCAAUAAGCGGAGGAAAAGAAACUAACAAGGAUUCCCUCAGUAACGGCGAGUGAAGCGGGAAGAGCUCAAAUUUGAAAUCUUGCAAGGGUCACCUUUCACGAAUUGCAGUUUAAAGAAGUGUUUUCUGUUACGAUCGUAAUAUAAGUUCUUUGGAAUAGGACAUCACAGAGGGUGAGAAUCCCGUCUAUGAUUGCGAUUUGUAGCUUUGUGAUACACUUUCAAAGAGUCGGGUUGUUUGGGAAUGCAGCCCAAAACGGGAGGUAAAUUUCUUCUAAGGCUAAAUAUUGGCGAGAGACCGAUAGCGAACAAGUACCGUGAGGGAAAGAUGAAAAGAACUUUGAAAAGAGAGUUAAAUAGUACGUGAAAUUGUCAAAAGGGAAGCGUUUAACACCAGUGUUGUUUUCUGAAAAUCAACCUCUGUUAGCUUUAUGCAUGUUUGUUUAGACCUAAUCAGCUAUCUUGCAUGUUCUAUUGUUUGCAGUGGUGCACUUUUCAGUUUACAGGUCAACAUCAGUUUUUUUUACCGUAAAAAAGUUAAAGAAAGGUAGCUCAUGGCUCCGGUCGUGAGUGUUAUAGUCUUUUUCCUAUGCGGUAGGAGAGACUGAGGUCUGUAGUGUAGGCUAUUUGGCUAGAUACUCAGGUGCUAUGUGAUACCAUUUCAUAAACAACUUGUUGAUUAUGUUUUGUCUAUUGCAUACUCGCUUGUACUAUCAUACCUACGCUUAGGAUGUUGACGCAUGAGAUAUACGC
rnacentral:rRNA from 1 species